AAUGAACGCUGGCGGCAGGCCUAACACAUGCAAGUCGAGCGGAUGAAGGGAGCUUGCUCCUGGAUUCAGCGGAGGAAGGGUGAGUAAUGCCUAGGAAUCUGCCUGGUAGUGGGGGCUAACGUCCGGAAACGGGCGCUAAUACCGCAUACGUUCUGCGGGAGAAAGUGGGGGAUCUUCGGACUUCACGUUUUCAGAUGAGCGUAGGUCGGAUUAGCUAGUUGGUGGGGUAAAGGCCUACCAAGGCGCCGAUCCGUAACUGGUCUGAGAGGAUGAUCAGUCACACUGGAACUGAGACACGGUCCAGACUCCUACAGGAGGCAGCGGUGGGGAAUAUUGGACAAUGAGCGAAAGCCUGAUCCAGCCAUGCCGCGUGGGUGAAGAAGGUCUUCGGAUUGUAAAGCACUUUAAGUUGGGAGGAUGGGCAGUAAGUUAAUACCUGGCUGUUUUGACGUUACCAACAGAAUAAGCACCGGCUAACUUCGUG
rnacentral:rRNA from 1 species